rnacentral:misc_RNA from 1 species
GAAAUGCGAUAAGUAAUGUGAAUUGCAGAAUUCAGUGAAUCAUCGAAACUUUGAACGCACCUUGCGCCCCUUGGUAUUCCUUGGAGCAUGCCUGUUUGAGUAUCAUGAAAUCUUCAAAGUAAAUCUUUUGUUAACUCAAUUGGUUUCUACUUUGGUAUUGGAGGUCUUUGCAGCUUCACACCUGCUCCUCUUUGUUCAUUAGCUGGAUCUCAGUGUUAUGCUUGGUUCCACUCGGCGUGAUAAGUUAUCUAUCGCUGAGGACACUGUAAAAGGUGGCCAAGGUAAAUGCAGAUGAACCGCUUCUAAUAGUCCAUUGACUUGGACAAUACUUUUAUGAUCUGAUCUCAAAUCAGGUAGGACUACCCGCUGAACUUAAGC